UUUAAUGGCCGCGGUAUUUUGACCGUGCUAAGGUAGCAUAAUCAUUAGUUUUUUAAUUGAAAGCUAGAAUGAAGGGUUGGAUGAAAAAAUAACUGUCUCUAAUUAAUUAUAAUUGAAUUUUAUUUUUAAGUUAAAAAGCUUAAAUUUAUUUAAAAGACGAGAAGACCCUAUAGAGUUUUAUAAAAAUAUUUUAUAAAAAAAUUUAAGAAUUAAAAAUUAUUUAUAUUAAUUUUAUUUGGUUGGGGUGAUUUAAAAAUUUAAAAAACUUUUUUUUAUUUACACUAUUAAUUUAUAAAUAUUUGAUCCAAUUAUUUUGAUUAUAAGAAAAAAUUACCUUAGGGAUAACAGCGUAAUUUUAUUUGAGAGUU
rnacentral:rRNA from 1 species